rnacentral:rRNA from 1 species
CCUACGGGAGGCAGCAGUGGGGAAUAUUGGACAAUGGGGGAAACCCUGAUCCAGCAAUGCCGCGUGAGUGAUGAAGGCCUUAGGGUUGUAAAGCUCUUUUACCAGGGAUGAUAAUGACAGUACCUGGAGAAUAAGCUCCGGCUAACUCCGUGCCAGCAGCCGCGGUAAUACGGAGGGAGCUAGCGUUGUUCGGAAUUACUGGGCGUAAAGCGCACGUAGGCGGUUACUCAAGUCAGAGGUGAAAGCCCGGGGCUCAACCCCGGAACUGCCUUUGAAACUAGGUAACUAGAAUCCUGGAGAGGUGAGUGGAAUUCCGAGUGUAGAGGUGAGAUUCGUAGAUAUUCGGAAGAACACCAGUGGCGAAGGCGGCUCACUGGACAGGUAUUGACGCUGAGGUGCAAAAGCGUGGGGAGCAAACAGGAUUAGAUACCCUGGUAGUCCACGCCGUAAACGAUGAUAACUAGCUGUCCGGGCACAUGGUGUUUGGGUGGCGCAGCUAACGCAUUAAGUUAUCCGCCUGGGGAGUACGGUCGCAAGAUUAAAACUCAAAGGAAUUGACGG